AUGUUCAUAGCCGAUAUGAUUAGAAUUCUUAUGACAGUGAGGGUUCAAUUGAUGGAAAAGAAUCGCCAUCUCAGCCGCAUACCCCCAUUCCAUAACCUGGUAUCGAGGGAUUCUUCAUUCUCCUUAGAGGAGUCACCAAAAACUAGAAAAUUCUCCAAUUUCUGGAAGAAUCACCUAAAGCUCUUUCUUCUUUCUCUCUGCUUCAUCUUCUUUGCAACUCUGCAGAAUCUUCAUCACACUUCGUGA